rnacentral:rRNA from 2 species
UACGGGGGGAGCAAGCGUUGUUCGGAUUUACUGGGCGUAAAGGGCGCGUAGGCGGUCACUACAAGUCAGUUGUGAAAUCUCUGGGCUUAACUCAGAACGGUCAACUGAUACUGUCGGACUAGAGUGCAGAAGGGGCAACUGGAAUUCUCGGUGUAGCGGUGAAAUGCGUAGAUAUCGAGAGGAACACCUGCGGCGAAGGCGGGUUGCUGGGCUGACACUGACGCUGAGGCGCGAAAGCUAGGGGAGCGAACGGG